rnacentral:lncRNA from 14 species
GGUAUGUACAAUGACAUGCCUGUUUUGGCACAUGUAAUGCCUGCUUUCAGGACCAACCUUAGCAUUGAUGCUUGUUGAUCAGUGAGAUUUCUGCAGCUUGCAAGGAGCAGGUUGAUGCAGGGGAAGGAUCAUAGGUGCUCAGAUGUUUAUGCUGAUGGGACCAGAAAUGCCGUCAAAAGCACAUUUCAGUUUGUAGCACAGCAUAGGACUACUUCUUAUGCACUUUGGACAAGUAUUUGAAAAGCCAUUGGUUUGCCUCUGAAGACACACACUCUGAAUCCCACCGGAACGUUCUAAAUUAUGGAGAUGGUGUCUUGAUAGACCUCAAGGGUGAGUUAGCACCUCUGAUUUUUAAGUGUAAUUAUUACAGCAAGUUAAUUUACAAAAGUAUCCACUAUUAACUGGGGCUUCUAUAAG